ACCCGCUGAACUUAAGCAUAUCAAUAAGCGGAGGAAAAGAAACUAACAAGGAUUCCCCUAGUAACUGCGAGUGAAGCGGGAAAAGCUCAAAUUUAAAAUCUGGCGGUCUUUGGCUGUCCGAGUUGUAAUCUAGAGAAGUGUUAUCCGCGCUGGACCGUGUACAAGUCUCCUGGAAUGGAGCGUCAUAGAGGGUGAGAAUCCCGUCUUUGACACGGACUGCCAGGGCUUUGUGAUGCGCUCUCAAAGAGUCGAGUUGUUUGGGAAUGCAGCUCAAAAUGGGUGGUAAAUUCCAUCUAAAGCUAAAUAUUGGCGAGAGACCGAUAGCGAACAAGUACCGUGAGGGAAAGAUGAAAAGAACUUUGGAAAGAGAGUUAAACAGUACGUGAAAU
rnacentral:rRNA from 1 species